ACAGCUGAGCACCCUGAAUGCACCCAAUCCUAUCUGAUCUCAGAAGCUAAGCAGGGUCGGCCCUAGUUAGUACUUGGAUGGGAGUUUUUAUUUUUAAACUCUAACUUGUGUUCAAGCUUCUGUU
rnacentral:rRNA from 1 species